rnacentral:lncRNA from 1 species
UUGAGCUGCGAGCUGAGGAGGCCCGUUGGCUGUUCCCGCAAAGAGUGGGGGGCGCAUUUUCUCUCCUGCCAGCCCGCUCCAUCCUGGUCGUUUAUUCCCGGCCUUCCCUCACCCCCCACCCCCACAGCCUGCUGGGAAACCAGACGACCCAGCGGCCACGGGACGAGUCACCCCAACUCAACCCCAGCAGGACGCUGGAGGGGCCUCCCUUGCCCACCUCUCUUCGCUAGCACUGGCCUCCCGCACCUGGGUCUGCAGUCCCUCCGCCAUCUCACAAGUGUGCAGCCGCUAGGCCUGGGGGAUCCGAAUGACUGGGGCUGGAUAGGAAUGCCUUCGUGUUUCCCAAGACCCCCGGGCCUGCUCCACAAAGUUUGAAGGGAGCCCCUGUUUUAAGAAGGAGGCCAAAUGUGCAGGCUCAGGCCAAGCAGCAGAGAUGAAUGAGGUGAUGACCACAGCCUUGAUCCGGCAGGAGCUCAGAGAUGCCCGGGAAGACGGGGGGCCCGAAUGGAAGCAGAAAAACACUUAUGGCCGCUGGGAAGUUGGGAGAGCCAGGCUGGGGCUCCGGCAGGCCCAGGGAAAGUUCCCUUUCUAGGCUCUUUAUUAAAAAAUUUAAAAGGAGGAGUUGAGGCGCCUUGAAUUUUCCUUCGCGAGUUUGGAGACCAGCCGAUUUUUCAUGAAGCAAGCAAGGGCCGCGGUCCCGGAUCCUGCAACAUAUACCUCAUUUUCUCCAGGCCUCUCCACUUGCCCGAGCUCUCAGCCACCAGGAGACAGACGGAAGGGGCUUCUGGGCUGUGUUGGGAGCGGGCAUUGUCCCCUACCCACUCCUGCACAGUUUCCCAAAGUCCAGCGACCUCCGACCCUCCUUGGGGAAAAAAAUACCAGUACCCAGACACCUCUGCACCCUGUUAUAUGACUGGGCUUGCUUCAGGAAUAUCUUACAAAGAAGAAGAAGGAGGAGGAACGGCUUGGAGUCAUGUUUACAUCUAGUUCUACUGAUCCGUUCACAUCUGGAGAGUUUAUUUAUAACUCCCUCUAUAACUCUCUGUUUGGAGGCACUGGUGGCUCUACUGACAGACUGAUGUCUAGGAAAUAUUGCUCUAUGUCUAAUGGUACCUAAAUGUGCUGUGGUUGUAUUUACAGAUUUACGUUUGAGGGAAAUAUAAUUAUUUCCAUUGUA